AGCGAACGUUAGCGGCGCGCCUAACACAUGCAAGUCGAGCGAGAAUUGGGGCUUCGGCUCCAUAGUAAAGCGGCGCACGGGUGAGUAACACGUAGGUAAUCUGCCUCUUGGUAGGGGACAACCUUCCGAAAGGAGGGCUAAUACCGCAUAAGACCACGCUGACCUUGGUCAGAGGGGUUGAAGGUGGCCUCUUCAUGAAAGCUAUCGCCAAGAGAUGAGCCUGCGUCCCAUCAGCUAGUUGGUAAGGUAAUGGCUUACCAAGGCUAAGAAGGGGUGCUUGUGUGAGAGAAAGAGCAGCCACACUGGAACUGGGACACGGUCCAGACUCCUACGGGAGUCAGCAGUGGGGCAUCAUGCGCAAGGGGCGAAAGCAUGAGGCAGCGACGCCGCGUUGGUGAUGAAGGCCUUAGGGUUGUAAAGCCCUGUGGGGAGGAACGAACAAGUUGCGACCUAACACGUCGUGACUCUGACGGUGCCUCCUUAGCAAGCACCGGCUAACUCUGUGCCAGCCGCCGCCGUAAAAC
rnacentral:rRNA from 1 species